rnacentral:sRNA from 1 species
UUACGAAAUUAGUAUACCCCCAUCCUAUGGUGGAGGGUAUAAAAAGAUGAAUCGUAUUAAAAUUGGCAAUUUUGACAUACAUGAUGAAUUACCCAUGGAUAGAAAAAGUGGCAUGUCAUAAAACGAAAACAUAGUGUGAUAGGGCUUUAAGUUGUUGUUGUUGUUGUAGCAGUGUAUUAUACACUGAGGCGGCAGCCCUUGCCGAUGAAGAACUCAAUCGGCGUACAAAAGUUAAGUAUGUUUUGACUUUGACGCCAAAAAACGAGCUUUAUUCUGUAAUGUCAUAUUGGAAAUAAUGUUUUUAACUCUUCCGGCUUCAACGCAACGCACAAAAUAAAAUUCAUAGCUCUCAUUCCGUUUCGACCUUAGCCUAUUAUCUGUAAUAUUCGAUCGAUUAUUCAACUGUCAAAAUGCACUAUAAAAAAUGGUGGCGUGAAUAAUGCGGACGCAUUCCGGAAUAUAGGAACGGCAAAUCGCUGCAUUAUUAAAUGUACAUUUCGGUUAAAAUAAAGUGCAUGCAUAUAAAUAGAAUAUAGGCGACGAUGUGUGAUAUUAAAAUUUAAGUUGUCGCAUGUGUUUUUGACGAAAAAAAUGCAUGUGAAUAUAUCCUAAUUUAUUACAUAUCCCAUGAAGAUGUCAACAAAACUUGACGAAACGUUGGAACAAAUAAAAUAAAAGAAUUUGUUAUUUGCGGGACUAAGGUCUAAAGGGCUUAAGAUAAAAUUUAAUAAAAUCUAAUUGGACCAAUAAAAUCUGAAUACAACAGUUUA